UACAGAGGUCUCAACCGUUGUUCGGAUUCACUGGGCGUAAAGGGUGCGCAGGCGGCCAAGUGUGUUAGGCGUGAAAGCCCGGGGCUUAACCCCGGAAUUGCACCUAAAACUACAUGGCUAGAGCAUUGGAGAGGGUAGCGGAAUUCACGGUGUAGCAGUGAAAUGCGUAGAUAUCGUGAGGAACACCAGAGGCGAAGGCGGCUACCUGGACAAUUGCUGACGCUCAGGCACGAAAGCGUGGGGAGCAAAAGGG
rnacentral:rRNA from 1 species